GUGCCAGCAGCCGCGGUAAUACGUAGGGUGCAAGCGUUGUCCGGAAUUAUUGGGCGUAAAGAGCUCGUAGGCGGUCUGUCACGUCGGAUGUGAAAACUCGGGGCUCAACCCCGAGCCUGCAUUCGAUACGGGCAGACUUGAGUUCGGCAGGGGAGACUGGAAUUCCUGGUGUAGCGGUGAAAUGCGCAGAUAUCAGGAGGAACACCGGUGGCGAAGGCGGGUCUCUGGGCCGAUACUGACGCUGAGGAGCGAAAGCGUGGGGAGCGAACAGGAUUAGAAACCCCCGUAGUCC
rnacentral:rRNA from 1 species